UACGUAGGGUGCAAGCGUUAAUCGGAAUUACUGGGCGUAAAGCGUGCGCAGGCGGUUUUGUAAGUCAGAUGUGAAAUCCCCCGGGCUUAACCUGGGAACUGCGUUUGAAACUACAAGGCUAGAGUGUGGCAGAGGGGGGGUGGAAUUCCACGUGUAGCAGUGAAAUGCGUAGAGAUGUGGAGGAACACCGAUGGCGAAGGCAGCCCCCUGGGUUAACACUGACGCUCAGGCACGAAAGCGCGGGGAGCAAACAGG
rnacentral:rRNA from 1 species